rnacentral:rRNA from 1 species
AUACGUAGGGUGCGAGCGUUGUCCGGAAUUACUGGGCGUAAAGAGCUCGUAGGUGGUUUGUCGCGUCGUCUGUGAAAUUCCGGGGCUUAACUCCGGGCGUGCAGGCGAUACGGGCAUAACUUGAGUACUGUAGGGGAGACUGGAAUUCCUGGUUUAGCGGUGAAAUGCGCAGAUAUCAGGAGGAACACCGGUGGCGAAGGCGUGUCUCUGGGCAGUAACUGACGCUGAGGAGCGAAAGCAUGGGUAGCGAACAGGAUUAGAUACCCUGGUAGUCCAGGCCGUAAACGGUGGGCGCUAGGUGUAGGGGUCUUCCACGACUUCUGUGCCGUAGCUAACGCAUUAAGCGCCCCGCCUGGGGAGUACGGCCGCAAGGCUAAAACUCAAAUGAAUUGGCGGGG